rnacentral:rRNA from 1 species
AUUGAACGCUGGCGGCAUGCUUUACACAUGCAAGUCGAACGGUAACAGGCCUUCGGGUGCUGACGAGUGGCGAACGGGUGAGUAAUGCAUCGGAACGUACCCAGAGGUGGGGGAUAACGCAGCGAAAGCUGUGCUAAUACCGCAUGUGAUCUGAGGAUGAAAGCGGGGGACCGAGCAGCAAUGUUUGGCCUCGCGCCUUUGGAGCGGCCGAUGUCGGAUUAGCUAGUUGGUGGGGUAAAGGCCUGCCAAGGCGACGAUCCGUAGCUGGUCUGAGAGGACGACCAGCCACACUGGGACUGAGACACGGCCCAGACUCCUACGGGAGGCAGCAGUGGGGAAUUUUGGACAAUGGGCGCAAGCCUGAUCCAGCAAUGCCGCGUGCGGGAAGAAGGCCUUCGGGUUGUAAACCGCUUUUGGCAGGAACGAAACGGUGUCGGCUAAUACCGGGCGCUAAUGACGGUACCUUAAGAAUAAGCACCGGCUAACUACGUG